ensembl:lncRNA
GGGAGGCCGGCUCAGCCGGGCAUUGCCGCGCAUUGCCCGAGCAGCCUUAGUUGACCAUCACCUCUCUCCCAAGCAGGACAGGCCCUCGGCGCCUCGACCUUCCCGCCCCACCAGGCUGGAUUUGCUGACGUCAUUGGGAAGCAAAGCCUGCCACCUACGCGGUGGCUUGUGGCAAUGCCGGAUCCUUAACCCAUGGGGCGAGGCCAGGGAUCGCUUUCAGAUUUACGUGUCCUUCCCAUCUCUGCCUCUCCCGAAACUGGGCCGUGCAAACGGUCCGGUGCUAAUAAUCACAGACGAUCGGUUCUCAGAGGCACAUGUGAACGUUGGUGCAGCCUCUGAACCCUUUAUAUUAUUUGUACCCGUCACUGUUUCAAACUGGCUGAAGUGCGGAGACACUUGGUUAUUGGGAAAUGCUCUGGGUUGCAACCAAAAUCCACCUGGAAAAACAAACCGCAGAGACUUGUUUUUAUUUUAAAAGGUGUAGUCAAUCUCCCGACAGCAACGACAAUCUUACAAUAAUCUAAUGAGAAAAAUUUGCAUAAUUUCCCAGGUGCUCAAAUACUUUUAACGCAAAGGCCGAUGUUUUCCAGCUUCUGUGAGCUUUUCAUUCACUACUUUAAAACAACCUUCAAUAUUAAAGCGUGGCUUUGAGGACGGGAGGAGCUGGGGGUGGAAACUGGUGUUUGAAAUCAGAGCUGGGUCAUGUGAGCAGUUCCGGAUUUCCUGCUGCAACCAGUUCCUGAGCUGUCUGCCCCUGAGGUGAAACACCCCCUCCCUCCCGAAGCCGUAAAAAGACGUGAGAGGAGUUUCCGCUGUGGCGCAACAGGAUCGGGUCAGUGGCGUCUCUGCAGAGCCAGGACGCAGGGUCAACCCCUGGUGCAGUGGAUUAAAGGGUCCAGUGCUGCUGCAGCUGUGGCGCAGGUUAAAACUGCAGCUCAGAUCUGAUCCCUGGCCGCGUGGCGGCCAGAAAGAAAAAAAAAAAAAAGCGAGAGCAGGAGUAUAUGAAGCAGGUGAUGCUAUGUGGCUUUGCCUCCGUGUCUGUCACACCUGAGACGGAGAACUUUUGCAGCUGCGGAACGUAUGAACAAAACACACAACUUCAGAAGCUUGUACUUCACCCAGCUGGUUUGCCUGCCCUGAUCACAAGGUUUUAUCCAAGAGCGAAAAGAAACAAGGGCUUCCAGGGAAUGCCUUGUGCUGUCAGCCUCACCAAGCAGCCCCUUGAAACACUUGCUGUCAAGGGCUGCCCCAUGUCCUGCGCCGUGGCGCCUUCAGGCCUUUCAGGUGGCUCUCAUCAGUAUGCCCAUUUCGCAGACGAAGCAACAGAGGCCCAGGGAUGUUAAGGCACUUGCCUGGGGUCACAUAGGCAGUUGGUCAGGGCCUCGUCAGUGAUCUAUGGCUGUGUAACGAGCCCCCCCAGGAUUUGGUGGAUUGAAACCUUUAUUGUCUCGUGGUUUCUGCUGGUCAAGAAUCCAGGUCUUUGCUGAAUCUCCAGCAUCACAGUGUCUCGAGAGGCUUCAGUCCUCUCAAGGAAGGACCGGCUUCCAAGCCCACCUGCAGGGUCCAGUGUCACCUGAGAGGCUGGCCUUCAGCCCCUUGCUCCUUUCUUGUGGCGGUCACACCAUGACAUAAGCAAGCCAGGUGGAAGUGGGCGGGAAAGAGCGAACACAGCAGGGCUGAGACUGCUGUCCUCAGAAAGGCCUGAAUGCCAGCCUGGCCUCUGGGGACCUGGGUCUCGGGAGUGUUGCCCCCAUCCUCACUGAGCCUCAACUGUCUAUGCAGGCAGUGGCCUGAACCGCUGCCUUCCUGUGGCUUCUGCCACUGAUGUGAAACAUACAUGAUCCGGAGGUCAGGGACGCCCCUCACCAAAGCGCCCUGUGCCCUUCGAACUCACAUACACGCCUCCUCUUGCUUCACUUGCUGGUUUACGGAUGGGGUCCAACACACCCAAGUUCAAGAUGCAGAAUCUCUCCCCUGGCCUUGGCUUCGGCCCACCUCAAUCCCCUCCCCGGAGACAACCAAUCGUCUGUCUCCUCUCCAUCCUUCGGUCAUCUUACGUAAAUUCAAAAGCACUCGUGUGUGUGUGUGUGUGUGUGUGUGUGUAUGUGUGUUUCCUCCUCUUUACACCAACAGCAGCAGAAAGAACACAUCUCUAACUGCAUUUCUGGGCGGUCGCUGUGUUCCAGGGCGUAGCCAGCUCCUUGGCCUCUCCGACGGCAGCGGUGUCCCCGUGUGGCUGGGCAUCAUGAACUUCAGCCCCUGGCCGUGGCCUUCACAUGUUUUCCCAGUUUCCUGCUGUCAUCAGUGAUGUUGCAUCAAAUGAUAUAUAGACACCGCCCUCUGCUCAUUUGCAAGUGUCGGAAGUGGACUUGCCGGGUCAGUCUUGCACAUCUGUCGUUCAGUUCUAGGGAAUGUAUCCUUCCAUCCUCUCCGAGGGGAUAUUCCAAAGCUCAAAGGAAACGGAGACUUUCAGGCAAAAGCUUGGUCUCCGAGGUUGUCUCACCAGCAGCCAAGCAACUGCCACUUCGGGACCGCGGGUCUCAGGCAGAGAUGCCCGCUGGGUACGUACAGGCGUGUCUGCGUCCAGGCCAGAAACCCAGCCUGGUCUGUCUCUUCUCUUGCGACGCCCUCAUUUCAGAGCAAAAAACCCUCAUCCAAGUGUUGAUGAGACGCGCAGCCAAAAGCCUGCAGUGCAGGCAUUCACGUUAAGCACACCCUUUUUUUCGUUUUUAGUUUUGGUCUUGAAACGCUUUCAUCAGUCUCAGCCCUACACCAUCAUCAUCUGGUUUAUUUUUAAUAAAAGGGAUUUUUAAGAGAUGUUUUCUUCUCCCUGUAGAGUCCGUGCUCCUUCCUGGCUGCUGCUUCCUCUUUGCUUUGAUCCUUCUGGUCCCUGCCAGGGGCUGUUUCCAGCUGCCUGGGGUCCAAGGUUGUCUUCUCUCGACUAAGCCAGGGCCCCAAGGCAAAGCAACGGCACCUUGGGGAAGACGCGCCACAGCUGAGGGUGACUUGAGGGGCCCGUUCUUGGGAACCACGAGGCCACUAGCCUUAGAGCUUUUCUCUGGAGCUGGACAGGUUCCAGAGAAGCAUCUUUGAAUAAUCUCUCACCAGGAGACUGAGGCCUGGCUGCCCCAAAUGUGCUGGAGUCGAGGGAGGGCCACAAGCGGCCAGCGGCUGGUGGACGGCUGCUCGGCAGUCUCACCGCUGGCUCGGGGGCUUGCUGUCUUGGUUUUCUCAUCACACCUGUUUGCUUUCCUGCUUAUGAAACUGUGUUGCUUCUGCACUCCCUUUGCUGCUUCUGUUUAAGAUGUGGUUACCACAGGUUCUCUAGGGUUCGGGGAGCAGUGAAAUUAGAUGCCUGGAUUCAACCCAUGUCUCAAACCAGACAGACCCUCCGAAUUACCCUCGGCUUUGAGAAAAGUUCGUAAGUUUAUAUCUGACCGAAAUAAAAAGUCCAGAGGUUUCAAAGGGUCUUAAUUCUAAUCCACGCUAAGAUUGUGUCUGCCCCUCGGGAAGUUCACACCUAUCUGGCAAUUUUGAAAAGCUGCUAAAAUCAGGAAAGUGCCAUCACUCAAAGGCAGUUGUUGCCAUGCAACUGUCCAUUCAAAAGGUGGGGGGGACUCCUUCAAUGGAGACCCCCAAUCACAGCAGGACUGCUGGCUCUGCUCCUAUUGGUCGAGCAGGGGACAGGACAGAAGUGGGCUCCUGGCUUCGUCACUUCCUCUGUGUGAUGUCUGGGACCUACUUAAUUUUUGCUUGGAUUUCUUUAUCUAUAAUGCAAUAAUGCCCUCAUAAAGCUGUUGCCCUGAAUGAGUCACAUGUCAGUGUCCCAUUUGCUGUCUCCUCGUUGCAAGCUCACCUGUCACUGCCGUCUCUGCCAAAACAGAUCUGAGCCCUUGAAAUAAUUUUGCCAGAGGGCGCUGUUAGUCUUUGUCAGCAGAGGGCACUAGAGAGACGCCACAGAAAGAUCCGGGGCCCUGGAUCCCCAGCUGCCCCAUGUGUGGCACUGCUGGUGCCCGCCUCCUGCCGUGUGCCCAUGCCAGUGGUACCUGCAGCAGCAGCCUCCCCGGCACCCUCUUGAUGCUCUGUUGAGGUACCGCCCAUGAAAACUCUUCCCCAGCUGCCUGGAGAGCAGAUUUCUGGCAGGUUCCAGCGAUGCAGAACCACAGCAGCCUCUCUGCCAUUCAGUGAGUCAUGGUCACGGCCCCUGCCAACAAAUCCCAGGUGGGGUGGCGGGUUCUCCCUGAGGUGCCCUAGCGCAGCGCUAGCUCUUCCUCCUGGCAUGCCCACAGCCUCCAGCACUCUCCUCACUGUGUACCAGCCCACCCUCACCACCCUACCCUCCUACAGGGAGCAAUGCUUCGUAUUAAGUUUAAGGAAUAUAUAUAUGGAUGGAUGACUGCAUCGCUUUGCUGUACAGUAGAAAUCGACAGAACACUGGAAACCAACUAUAAUGGAAAAAAUAAAAAUCGUAAAAAAGUUUUCCUCGCUUAAAUUGCAAUGCGGUUUCUCAGUCGCACAUGAUAUGAGUCAAUAUACAUACACCACUUAAACAUCACUCGUAAAGGGCAGACCUUGCCCGGCUAGAUGGCUGUUACUACCUAGGCCUUGGUUUGCUUCUACGGCACAUCGAGACGCAAUCUGGCUAAACACUCAAGGGAGUUUUGUUGACCAAUGGGUCCGUGUCAUUAACUAUGAUGCAGCGUGGACAGACCUGGGUUUGAAUCUUGACUCUGCCAUUCCACACGGGUCUCGACACACCUGUACGUUACAACUACACAGAAUGUUUGCCACGUACCUCAAAUGAACAAAUGUUAGGCCAUCUUCAGUGCAAAAACAAAAACCCCAAACACCCCAAAACAAACAAACAAAAAUCCACUAAGCAUCCUUAUUUGUCUUCACAGUAUCGUAUUAUUAGAGGAGCUACGAUUAUGCAGACCAACAGUCCCCACCCUGGCCACACAUCAGACCCUACGGGGUUUAGACUCUACCCCAGCCAUGAGAAACAGAAUCUCAAGGAGUUUCUGUCACGGCUCAGUGGAAACAAUCCGAUUAGUAUCGAUGAGGAUGUGGGUUUGAUCCCUGGCCCUGCUCAGUGGGUUAAGGAUCCGGCAUUGCUGUGAGUUAUAGCGUAGGUCGCAGACGCAACUCGGAUCUUAUGUUGCUGUGGCUGUGCUGGAGGUCCGCAACUGCAGCUCUGAUUCAAGCCCUGGCCUGGGAACCUCCAUAUGCUGCAGGUGCAGCCCUAAACAGGGAGGGAGGGAGGGGAGGGGGGAGAAAGAGAGAGAGGGAGGGAAGGAGGAAGGAAUCAAAUCUCCGAGUCGGCCGAGACCUGCAUUUUAAAGCAGCUCUGGAGAAGGAACUUUGGGAACUAAGAGCUCGUCCUUCCCUUUGGUUGGUGGAGACGUUCAUGCCCACGCCGGCCGCAAGGGUCUUCAGGGAGGAGGGUGAAGGAUGGUGAGGUGGCCCUGGCCCAGCCACUGAGGGUCAGAAGGGCAGGGUCUGAGGCUUUCAGCCCCAAUGAAAGAAGGAAUCCGUACCUUCAAAGGUUGAACAAAUAAAAUCAGUGAGGAGAACCAGAGCUAUGCUGCUUACCUGGGAGAGAGUGGAGGGGAGAGACGACGGGAAGUAUGAGAGGACCCGGUGCUGGGUUCGUAUUGAGGAGGAGCUGGAGUGACAGGGUUUUAAGCAAUUUAUAGGGACACGCAGAGACGUAGGAACGCAGGGCGUGUGCACCCGCACGUUUAUUUCUGAGCUCCCUUUGCUGAGAGGGUCUCUGAGACACGAUGCCCCACUAGCACUGAGCACAUGCAACCCCAGACCUUGGUUUCUAACCACCGGGCUCCACGCAAAGGAUCCAGGGCUCCAGGGGUGACUCCAGGACUGGAGCAUCAUUGUGCCAGAAAGGAGCAAGACGGGGACGUGUGGGAGGACUUGAGAACCGGCCAGAAGCAGCGCCCAUCAGCCAAUUCCAGGACGGCGUGGGCAGGAAAAUAAUGACAGUAGCAUAUACCUUCCUGAAUACAGUAAGAAUCCUCGCAUGCGCAGGAUAUAAAUGAAUGAACAAACAGGUAGACAGGGAACAGGGAGACGUACUUAACGGAGAACGCACACUCGUCAGGUAGAGGAACGAGACGAUUGGAAAUGAUCCCUCUGCAACCCUCACCGUGAAAACUGGUUCGGAAAAAUUACCAAGAGACGCUAAAGCCGAGAGUGAAAGCUAGUAACGAAGAGGCGUAUACACAUGGUCCUCAAGCAGCUCCUUGCAAAUGUCUACUAAGUUUUUAAGGGAAGAAAGGCACAGGCGGUUUUCCUGAAGCACAACUUGGGAAGUAUUUCAAAAUCAAGAGACUUAGCAGAUAAAUCAACCAAACGCAAUGUGUGGUCUGUCCGUCUAAACCGACCAAAAAAACAAAUUGAGGUUCAGCGAAUAUGAACAUCAAACUAAGCUAUUUGUGGGCCGGGGGGUUAGUCUUCAUUUCAGCCCAUCCCAGCAAUCAUUUUUCUACGAGUUUAAUUUUUCUUUUUUCCCUUCUUUUCUUUUUUUGGCC